GACGAACGCUGGCGGCGUGCUUAACACAUGCAAGUCGAACGGAAAGGCCCUGCUUUUGUGGGGUGCUCGAGUGGCGAACGGGUGAGUAACACGUGAGUAACCUGCCCUUGACUUUGGGAUAACUUCAGGAAACUGGGGCUAAUACCGGAUAGGAGCUCCUGCUGCAUGGUGGGGGUUGGAAAGUUUCGGCGGUUGGGGAUGGACUCGCGGCUUAUCAGCUUGUUGGUGGGGUAGUGGUUUACCAAGGCUUUGACGGGUAGCCGGCCUGAGGGGGUGACCGGCCCCAUUGGGACUGAGAUACGGCCCAGACGCCUACGGGAGGCAGCAGUGGGGAAUAUUGCACAAUGGGCGGAAGCCUGAUGCAGCAACGCCGCGUGCGGGAUGACGGCCUUCGGGGUGUAAACCGCUUUCGCCUGUGACGAAGCGUGAGUGACGGUAAUGGGUAAAGAAGCACCGGCUAACUACGUG
rnacentral:rRNA from 1 species